rnacentral:rRNA from 1 species
AGAGUUUGAUCCUGGCUCAGGAUGAACGCUAGCGGAAGGCUUAAUACAUGCAAGUCGAGCGGUAGGUGGCUUCGGCCAUUGAGAGCGGCGCACGGGUGAGUAACGCGUACAUGACCUGCCUGUCAGAAGGGGAUAGCCCUGGGAAACUGGGAUUAAUACCCUAUGGUAUUGAUAUUAUGAAUGAUAUCAAUUAAAGUUGAGGCGCUGACAGAUGGAUGUGCGUCUGAUUAGCUAGUUGGUAGGGUAACGGCCUACCAAGGCGACGAUCAGUAGGGGGCGUGAGAGCGUGGUCCCCCACACGGGUACUGAGACACGGUCCAGACUCCUACGGGAGGCAGCAGUAGGGAAUAUUGGACAAUGGGCGAAAGCCUGAUCCAGCCAUGCCGCGUGAUAGAUGAAGGCCCUCUGGGUUGUAAAUAUCUUUUAUCUGGGAAGAAACAAUCUUAUUCUUAAGAUCUUGACGGUACCAGAGGAAUAAGCACCGGCUAACUCCGUG